ACCUGGCUGGUUCAAUUGGUAGAAUAUGUGACUUUUGAUCUUGGGGUUGUAAGUUCAAGCCUCACACUGGGUG
rnacentral:tRNA from 1 species